rnacentral:rRNA from 1 species
CAAUAGCAUAUGUUAAAGUUGUUGCGGUUGAAAAGCUCGUAGUUGGAUUUCUGGAGGGAGCGUCGGCCCGUAUUUACGAGUGCGUGACGUCUCUGUCCAUCCUUGCGGGAAGGCACGGCAUUGAUUUGUUGUGUCGGAUCGCAUCAUUUACUGUGAAAAAAUUAGAGUGUUCAAAGCAGGCUUUCGCUUGAAUACAUUAGCAUGGAAUAAUAAGAUAGGACUUUGGUGCUAUUUUGUUGGUUGAGCCUAAAGUAAUGAUUAAUAGGGAUAGUUGGGGGCACCUGUAUUGCGUUGUCAGAGGUGAAAUUCUUGGAUUUACGCAAGACAAACAGCUGCGAAAGCGUCUGCCAAGGAUGUUUUCAUUAA